CACGUAGGGUGCGAGCGUUGUCCGGAAUUAUUGGGCGUAAAGAGCUCGUAGGCGGUGUGUCGCGUCGGCCGUGAAAACCUGCAGCUUAACUGUGGGCUUGCGGUCGAUACGGGCAGGCUGGAGUUCGGUAGGGGAGACUGGAAUUCCUGGUGUAGCGGUGAAAUGCGCAGAUAUCAGGAGGAACACCGGUGGCGAAGGCGGGUCUCUGGGCCGAUACUGACGCUGAGGAGCGAAAGCGUGGGGAGCAAACGGG
rnacentral:rRNA from 1 species